rnacentral:tRNA from 1 species
GAAAUAUUAAAAAAAAUUAAGCUUCUAACUUAAAUUUAAAGCAACCUUUGUUUAUAUUUCU